GCCAGUGUGGUGCAGUGGUUUGAAUGUUGGACUAUGACUCUGGAAUCCGGAGUUCGAAUCCCGGCUCAGCCA